rnacentral:tRNA from 1 species
GGGCUCGUGGCGCAGCUAGGUAGCGCAGCAGGCUUUUAACCUGACGGCCGCGGGUUCAAAUCCCGCCGAGCCCGCCA